CCUACGGGUGGCAGCAGUGAGGAAUAUUGGUCAAUGGACGAAAGUCUGAACCAGCCAAGUAGCGUGAAGGAUGACUGCCCUAUGGGUUGUAAACUUCUUUUAUAAAGGAAUAAAACGCGGCACGUGUGCCUUUUUGUAUGUACCUUAUGAAUAAGGAUCGGCUAACUCCGUGCCAGCAGCCGCGGUAAUACGGAGGAUCCGAGCGUUAUCCGGAUUUAUUGGGUUUAAAGGGUGCGUAGGCGGGUUGUUAAGUCAGUUGUGAAAGUUUGUGGCUCAACCAUAAAAUUGCCAUUGAUACUGGCAGGCUUGAGUACAGUUGAGGUAGGCGGAAUGCGUGGUGUAGCGGUGAAAUGCUUAGAUAUCACGAAGAACCCCGAUUGCGAAGGCAGCUUGCCAAGCUAUGACUGACGCUGAUGCACGAAAGUGUGGGGAUCAAACAGGAUUAGAUACCCUGGUAGUC
rnacentral:rRNA from 1 species